UGAGUAACCUGCCCUUGACUCUGGGAUAAGCCUGGGAAACUGGGUCUAAUACUGGAUACUACCUCUUACCGCAUGGUGGGUGGUGGAAAGGGUUUUACUGGUUUUGGAUGGGCUCACGGCCUAUCAGCUUGUUGGUGGGGUAAUGGCUCACCAAGGCGACGACGGGUAGCCGGCCUGAGAGGGUGACCGGCCACACUGGGACUGAGACACGGCCCAGACUCCUACGGGAGGCAGCAGUGGGGAAUAUUGCACAAUGGGCGGAAGCCUGAUGCAGCGACGCCGCGUGAGGGAUGACGGCCUUCGGGUUGUAAACCUCUUUCAGUAGGGAAGAAGCGAGAGUGACGGUACCUGCAGAAGAAGCGCCGGCUAACUACGUGCCAGCAGCCGCGGUAAUACGUAGGGCGCAAGCGUUGUCCGGAAUUAUUGGGCGUAAAGAGCUCGUAGGCGGUUUGUCG
rnacentral:rRNA from 1 species